rnacentral:rRNA from 1 species
GGGCUAGUUGUAAUUGCGAGGACUUGGCGAGCGCUUCGAGUUCCUGGAACGGACCCGUAUAGGUGAGAGCCCCGUACGGUUGGUCGCCGACCUCUGUAAAGCUCUCAAGAGUCGAGAGUUUGGGAAUGCUGCUCUAAACUGGAGGUAAACCCCUUCUAAAGCUAAAUACUGGCCACAGACCGAUACGCACAUAGAGUGAUCGAAGAUGAAAGCACUUUGAAAAGAUAGUUAAACAGCACGUGAAAUUGUUGAAAGGGAACCUUGUGACCAGACUUGCGUCGGAGUUACCCGCCCCUCGGGGCGGUGCACUCUGCCGGCUUAAGCCAUCAUCAUUACUGUUGGGAGAAAGGCUCUGGGAACGUGCUUCUCGGAUGUUAUACCCAACGCUCGCCUUCUGUGGACUGAGUUCCGCUCCAAGGAUGCUGGCCGAUGGUCACUAACCUACCGUUUGAAACACGGAC